UACGUAGGGUGCAAGCGUUAAUCGGAAUUACUGGGCGUAAAGCGUGCGCAGGCGGCUAUGCAAGACAGAUGUGAAAUCCCCGGGCUCAACCUGGGAACUGCAUUUGUGACUGCAUAGCUAGAGUACGGCAGAGGGGGAUGGAAUUCCGCGUGCAGCAGUGAAAUGCGUAGAGAUGUGGAGGAACACCGAUGGCGAAGGCAGCCCCCUGGGCCGUAACUGACGCUCAUGCACGAAAGCGUGGGGAGCAAACAGG
rnacentral:rRNA from 1 species